rnacentral:rRNA from 1 species
GAUGAACGCUGGCGGCGUGCCUAAUACAUGCAAGUCGAGCGAACAGACGAGGAGCUUGCUCCUUCGACGUUAGCGUCGGACGGGUGAGUAACACGUAGGUAACCUACCUAUAAGACUGGGAUAACUUCGUGAAACCGGAGCUAAUACCGGAUAAUAUUUCUAACCGCAUGGUUCGAUAGUGAAAGAUGGCUUUGCUAUCACUUAUAGAUGGACCUGCGCCGUAUUAGCUAGUUGGUAAGGUAACGGCUUACCAAGGCAACGAUACGUAGCCGACCUGAGAGGGUGAUCGGCCACACUGGAACUGAGACACGGUCAAGACUCCUACGGGAGGCAGCAGUAGGGAAUCUUCCGCAAUGGGCGAAAGCCUGACGGAGAAACGCCGCGUGAGUGAUGAAGGUCUUCGGAUCGUAAAACUCUGUUAUUAGGGAAGAACAAACGUGUAAGUAACUGUGCAAGUAUUGACGGUACCUAAUCAGAAAGCCACGGCUAACUACGUG